rnacentral:rRNA from 1 species
CGAAGCUCAGGAUGUGCGCCUUUGGCGCACGUGGUAGGAGAGCAUUCCUUGCAGCGUUGAAGCCGUACCGGUAAGGGGCGGUGGAGCGCAAGGAAGAGAGUAUGCCGCAAUUAGUAACGACAAAACGAGUGAAAAACUCGUUCGCCGUAAGACCAAGGGUUCCCGGGCAAUGGUAAUCAUCCCGGGGUGAGUCGGUCCCUAAGGUGAGGCCGCAAGGCGUAGCUGAUGGGAAGCAGGUUAAGAUUCCUGCACCGUGCGCUAAUGCGACGGGGGUGACGCGGAAGGCUAAUCCGUCAGUUCUGACGGAUGAACUGCUCUAAAAUAGCCAGGGGGAUAGGCAAAUCCGCCCCCAGACGGUAAAAUAGGAGCUAGGUAAGGACUUCGGUCCUGCCAAGAGGAUGAUGCCAGCCGCCGAGAAAGAGCCUCUAAGCUUCAGUUAGCGUGCGACCGUACCGCAAACCGACACAGGUGGUCGAGGAGAGUAUCCUCAGGCGCUCGGGAUAAUGGUGGAAAAGGAACUAGGCAAAAUAGCCCCGUAACUUCGGAAAAAGGGGUACCCACUUCGGUGGGUCGCAGUGAAUGGGUCAACCGACUGUUUACCAAAAACACAGCACUCUGCCAAGUCUCUCAAGACGACGUAUAGGGUGUGACGCCUGCCCGGUGCCGGAAGGUUAAGGGGAGAAGUUAGCCGCAAGGCGACGCUUUGAACCGAAGCCCCGGUAAACGGCGGCCGUAACUAUAACGGUCCUAAGGUAGCGAAAUUCCUUGUCGGGUAAGUUCCGACCUGCACGAAUGGCGUAACGAGUUGACCGCUGUCUCUUCCAUCACCCCGGUGAAGUUGAGCUCCGAGUGAAGACGCUCGGUACCCGCAGCAAGACGGAAAGACCCUAUGCACCUUCACUAUAACCUGUCAUUGGUGCCAGACACGAAAUGUAGAGGAUAGGCAGGAGGCUUGGAAGCGGGGACGCCAGUUCCCGUGGAGCCGACCUUGGAAUACUGCCCUUUUCGUGUUUAGCAUCUAACUCCGGAGACUGAAGCGUCCCGGGGGACCGUGGCAGGCGGGUAGUUUGACUGGGGCGGUCGCCUCCUAAAAAGUAACGGAGGCUCGCAAAGGUCCCCUCAGCACGGUCGGCAAUCGUGCGCAGAGUGUAAUCGCAGAAGGGGGCUUGACUGAGAGACCUACAAGUCGAUCAGACGCGAAAGCGGCGAUAGUGAUCCGGCGGUUCCAGUGUGGAAUGGCCGUCGCUCAUAGGAUAAAAGGUACGCUAGGGAUAACAGGCUGAUCUCCCCCAAGAGUCCA